rnacentral:tRNA from 3 species
GGGCCGGUGGCGCAGUCUGGUAGCGCGCCCGCUUGGCAUGCGGGAGGCCGAGGGUUCAAAUCCCUCCCGGUCCA